GCCCAGGUGGCGGAAUUGGUAGACGCAGCAGACUCAAAAUCUGCCGUUCGCAAGAUCGUGCUGGUUCGAUUCCAGUCCUGGGCA
rnacentral:tRNA from 2 species